AAAAAAAAAAAACUAGAUUUCCUAAUUUCGCUCCAAACCUCCAAAAGAUUUUCCACCAAUUCAGGGUGAAAGGGGGGAAAAUAUGAAAGUAAAGGUGUUAUAGAGGUUUAAGUUACAAAUAUACCAUUGAUACCAUAUAAAUAGAAAUGGAUGAAUGAUGAGGGUAUAACAAUAAAAAUAGACUUUAUAAACUUAUUUCUUUUCUUUUCUAUCCACUAUCUCACAUAAGGUCACCAAACAAUAAAAUGAAAAAUAGACUUAUUUUCUUUUUCUCUAUUUAAUUUAUUUUCAUUUCCAUUGCACAAUUAAGAAACCAAACAAAGGCUUAGUCAAUAUUUUUUUUUUCUUUCCUUAAAAAAGAGGGAAGGAAAACAGAAAAAGUACUUACACAACUUUGAGGCUUGA
rnacentral:misc_RNA from 1 species